GAGACCCAGGGAAGGUUUGCGCUGUUUGGGAUUAAUUGAGAAUAAUUAACACUGGAGACUGUUAAUCACUACUUUGCUGCUCUCGUACUCCUUUCGGGUCUGCGGCGACUGCCUCUCUCGCUCCGGCAGCCGGCGCGGGUGGGUUCGCUGGUGAAAGUGAAGACGUAGCGGUAGCUGUCACCCAGUUCGGCUGUACUUUUUUAAACGCUUGCAUAUUGUUUGAUUACUAAUUCGAGUUAAUAUGAUCUUUAUGGCAACAUAACAGUGGAUAAUUGGCCUUUUUUUCUGAACAACAAUGUAAAUCACAAUCGCUUUAUUAUUUAAUAACGUCAAACGCUUCGUUGGAUUGGCCCCGACCGAGAAGACCUUUUCUUUCUAGACAGUGUUGUGGAGGAAGAACAAUGAAGAUCUAAUUGUGGAGAUUUCAUAAGUUGGCUCCCGUAAAUGAACAGCUUAGAUAUGGAAGUUCCAGCAGAUGUGGGCACUAUUCGCUGUGGAAACUCUAUCCCCAACCCCCAAUGCACACAGCCCAAACACUCUAUUGGAGGUUUUUUGUGGCGGCGGUGGUGGUGGUGGUCCUCAGAUCCUAGCAACCACCUAAAUCUUGCAGUAACAAUUAGAGCUUUUAUCGGGCUUGCUCUUCAGCCCUUUAUAUUGCCGAUUUAGCAUUAAGGCAUUGAGUCCACAUACCAAAUUAGCGCAACUCCCAAAGAGCCACAACCACUAAUGCGCCCCUUAAGUUCCUGGUUGUUGGACACCUAGAGCACCGGCCUAGGGCUUUUUAAAAGUCUUACUUUGUUUUGAUUUGAUUUUUAAAACGGAAUCACCCACGCAGUAUCUAGGUCUAGUAAUAUACUUUUUCAGGAAGAGUUUUGCCAGGGGCACGAGCCAUUAUUUUUCUGACGCCUGUCAGAGCAGACACCUAGAGACCCCGCAAAUGCAGACGGCAAUGCUUGGAAGGAAUAGGUCUCCGCUGCCCAAAUGAAAGAUGAAUCACAUUUGCCCCCAAAGCCUGAAUUCUAACGGUUCUCUAUGGCGGCUCUUGCCGUCGCUGGUGGACUGCUAUCUCUGGGGUCUUAAGACUUCGGAGUUCUUCGCCAAUGCGGAACCCUCAACACUUGGAAUUCGGGUCAAGGAGAGAGACUCCGAGUCUACAGCAGGUUUUGUUUUUGCGUGUGCCCGCCUCUCCAUUUUAUUCAACUUCUCCUGCCCGUCGGGAGGCAGAACAAUUCGCUCCCCCCAACCCCCCGCCUGCCUCACUUCAAAGAUAAACACGAGGUGCGAAAUGCUUCGCCUGCACACGCGUCCUCGGGGCCCCUCUCCCCUUACCCCUAGCGCACCGACUGUGCAGCUGUCCUCCGCCCAGACCUGGGUGGAGACACCCCCCUUCUCUUCCCACCCGCAUUUUAAAGCCAUCACAUCGACGGUUCUAGAGUCACGUUCACAUUUUCGGCUCCCUUCCAAUUUCUUUCUGGCCCACUCUCCCCCUUUAAGACCUAAAAAGUCACAAGGGGGAAGAGUUGAGAAAUUGAGAGGAAGGCAGUGGAUUUUCAAAAGUUAUCUCCACCCCACCUACAUCCCCCCCCCCGCCCUGUUAAAAGUGUAUUUUACCACAGGAGUGCAUUAGGAAACUUUCCCUAACAGGACUUGGGCUCAGUGUUAUUCUUCUCCAGGGGCCUGCUGGCCUCCCCGCCCCCGCUGGACAAUGCGCGCUUUGAGGCUCGGUGGCCUGCAGGCAGCGGGAGACGAGGGGACUAGGCGGCCUUCCUCCAAGGGGCCCGCAGCUGGGGGAGCGUCGGGCAGGGAGCAGGGCCGGGGAGGCGGGCCACGCAGGAAGAAAAACCAUAAAAGCACAAUUUUCUUCCCCCUACCCCUCCACAGAGGCCGGCUUUGAGGAUGUGGGGGGCAGGGCGGCUGGGGAGGGGGAUGUGAGAGAUUUUGCGUUUUGUUUCUUUCUUAUCCUCCCCCCUCCCCAACCCAAAUAUUUUAUUUCGACCUAGAAUUAUGCAGCCUAGGUUUGCCAACCCCCUCGCUUUCAGUCUUGGAUACCUAGUCUCUGGUUAGUAGUAUCUCACCCCGGGUCUUUAACGCUCACACAGACCCCGGCACUCACUUCUUGCCCAGCCUGGCUUCACAAUUCCAACCAGCCCCUCCCUCCCCGCUCGGGGUGCCGAGCCCUAGACUGGGAAAAAACCCUGGCCAGGCACCCUGGGACGCUACUUUCUAGUUUGGGGGAGGGGGUAGGUUCUCCUAGAGAGAAUAUCACUACGCUCCCCUCCAGGCAGCCUCAGGGCAGGAGCUCUGGGAUCAGCAGAAGCUCUCGGAGGGUCACCACACUGGUGGGAGCGUUUGUCUGAUAUUUUAAAACUUAUACCAAAAGGGGCUCCAGGGCCACGUGCUGUGCCUUCGAAAAGCCGCCGCGGGCCCUGGCUUUCAUAGCCACGGAAGCCGGGCUGGCCUGGAGCGGCUGCGGAAGUCACCGGCCGACGUUAGGGGCCCGCGCUGCGCCGCAGGUCUGGCCGUAGAGCUGAGUGAAGCGAAUUAUCUGGAGCGUGUUUGAUCUCGGGCUGCGUAGUCAGCUUCCGCUUUAUUUGUUUGUUUGUAAUCUCAUAUUUAGCAAGCUGGGACUGUGGCAGCAACGGAGGAAGGAAGGGAUGGAGGAGGGGGCUUCUCGGUAACCACACCCCUUCCUAAUGAGUUAAUUUCCAUAUUUGCGCCUCCCGCAUCUAGCGCCCUCUUUUCCCCGACGCUACGGUGCUGUGGCGUCUUGCGCAGUGCGGACGCCUCCACUCUAGACUGAAGUGAAAAAGCUCGCAGUGGGAGCAGAAAAUUGGUCUAUUGAUAACAUUCGCUCUGAGUGUUGGUUGAUCUUGGCAUCACCGGCACGGGGUUGUUCCCCCCGCCCCAAAUGGGGCGCACACGGAUUGCCGAGGGCUCGAAGACACCCAUGCAGGCAGCAAACAGAAAACGACUUUCCUGCCUUUUCCGCUGCUCCAGCUGUCCGAUCCCCACUUCCCUUUCUUUUUACCCAACUCCAGGUUUUCUCCCUUCUCUCUCUCUCCUCUUCCUCGCUGGCGCGCGCGCGCGCGCGCUCUCUCUCUCUCUCUCUCUCUGUCUCGCGCGCGCGCGCGCGCUCUCUCUCUCUCGGUGAGGGCACUGAGGGUAGGGUCGCUUAGAAAGCGCGGGGGAUGGGGAGGGGGCAUGUAACCCCAAACGAAUGAAUCAAAAGUGGAAGUUUCAAAGUACAUUCCCAGUCCUGAGAAAUAUAAUGUUAUCUUGCACUCGAGGGAGUGUGCCGGCCCGAGUAUAUGUACGUAAGAGAGAGAAGCAGAAAAUCUGAGGUUGUGAGAUUUGUCUGUAGUCUGAGUCGGUUAGAAGUUAGGGCGAAGACUGAACUUUUGGAGGACCCUCAGUAGAAAACUCCAGGCGGGUUUCAGCUGUUUCUAGCCUGGUUUCCUACACAUUUCUGUGGUGAUUCUGCUCAGGAAAUUGGAGAAACAGGCUUUUACCAUUGCUCACUCUCCCCUUACCCCUUCCACAACACCCUCCUCACUUUGCCGCGCGCGAACUAGGGUGUGGGCUCGGGCUUGAGCUCCAAAAUAGCAUGCUUGUCAAUUGCGAGCUGAGGCAGUAUCAAAGUGAACUGUCCCAAGUAACGCUUGUCUAGAAGCUGGGAAGAAGCUUAAGCAGCUCGCUUUAAUGAUGAUUUGUAGCUCGGCGAGGGGCACGGACAGCAAACACCCCGCAGGUGUGUGCCGUAACACCACCAUCCGGACUUGAAUGUAGAUUACUCUGGCGAUCGUUUGAUCGGCCCUUUGAAACCCUUUACAAUUGCCUGUGACGAACGGCCAGUCUCAGUUUUUCUCUGAAUAAUGCCUGGAGGGUAAGUCCUCCGGGCUUUUAAAGAGCUCCAGUAUUUUUUUUUUUUUUUUAAAAAAAAAAAAAAAAUUCGCAUCACUCAAGCUGUUCAGUACUUAAUGACUAUUACCAUUGCUGUCUUACAUAUGUGUAAUAAAACACAUAUGAAAACAAAGUUAUUAAUUUCAUUUUCUUUAGUUCCAAACUGCCCUGCCCAUUUAUGGAUGUUUGUGUGUUUAUUAUAAACAUGCGUCAUCAUUAUUAUUAAUGUCAUUGUUAAUCUUUAUGCCUUCUGUAUUCUCUCUGAAUUAUAUCUAUUUGGGCAAGUGUGAGUUUAACUUAAACAUUUAGGCUUUCCAAAGUAAAACUCUAUAGUUUAACCCCCUCAACAUGUUCCUACCAACCCCCACCACCAAAAUGAAAAAGGUAGUGCUGUUGAACCUUUAAUAUUUACUUAGAAUGUUUACAUAAAGGGAGGAAAAUGAACUUUUGUCUGAAAUGUGCAACAAGCGGCACUUUGAUUUCAUAAAAUAAGUGUCAACAAUUGCAAGAGCUUAUCAAACUAGGGCAGGGGGUGGAGGGUGGGAGUGCAGUUAAAUUAAAGGCCCAUUCCUGCCACUUCAGACUACAAAGGGUUACACAUAAAUAAGUACCACAUUUGCCUACUGCAAAAGUUUUCUCCGUGCUUUCUAAGUCACAACAGGGGAGGGGGAAAGCUGUCGUUUAUUAUCCAGCUCUGGGCAGGAGCAGACCCCAGUACCACGAGGCUCUUAGCUUUGGCCAGCAGAAGAGGGGUAGCCUUUCAACAGCAGCCCCCUUUGUUCUCCCGAUCUCUUUCCCAAUUUCAAGCUUCACUUGCACAUCCCAAGUUUGUGUGUUAAUGACGCUAUUACCAUCUGGCUCGCCCUACUUUCCAAAAGAUAUAAAUCUCCUAGCUCCAUUGCCCGCAUUAUCAUUUAAGUGCCACCAUAGCCAGAAGAAAAAGAUGCUUUCAAGACUCCAGAUUCUCUUGCACUGACUACCCCUGGCAUGACUCUUCCACUAUAUUUAUAGACUAUACAUUGGGUGUGGGAGAGCUCCUUGAGAGACCUGAUUUCUCAAGAGCUGUCCCUCCAAGCCAAGGAAGACAUGCUACUGGGUGAAAGAAGGGCUUCAAAUAAAUUUUCCCUUAAAAUAUUUCUGUUUUGUUUGCAGCAGGCAGAGUGUAUGCCUCAACAUAGUUUUAUGUGCCUGUGCCUUCCUUUCUCCCACUAAGCUUUGUAAAAAGUCACGGUGCAACUCCUAGACAUUCAAGAUGUGCCACUCUUCAAACCCUAUUUUGAGCGGGAGAAUAGAUUGAUCUCUUUAUGGGAGUGGUGACAGGAGGGAAGGAGGGGAAAAAAAGCCCCUUGAGGCAACUUUUGGGAGCUGGGCCAACUGCAUCCCUUCCCUAACCCCUCACUUUUAUAGUGCCUGCAUAGAUGUGUAGGUGUUGUGGGAUAGACACACUUUGAGCUCUAGCUCUAGAUCCACCUCUUCUUUCCUGGGUAAUUAGUGAUUUGCGUGUUUUGAGCACAAAAGCUGAGAAACUAUAACAAAAAGAGUUGGGCUGGCUUGUGAGUGGCUCUACAAUGACUUCAUUUAUCUGGCCAGGUUUGAGUGAAUAGAGCAGAGCAGAGUCUGCCUCUAAGCGUGUGGGGUUUAUAUUCAGGCCGCUAGCUGAUUUGAAUGGCUUAUUUCCCUUUGAGGGCUUCUGCUAUUUGUGGCCCUAGACGGCCACAUCCAGGUGUAUCUCUCUCCUUGCAACACUCUCUCCUUCCCAAUGCUAUCUUCACACGAGGCCAGUUCCACUAAGAUAAACCAACCAACCCCACAGGUCGGAAGUGGAAUUGGAAAGGUGAACUUCCCAGGUUCCUAAGACAAGUUCUUAAAAUCAUCAAGAUUUAAGCAGACCCCUCUCUCUGACGC
rnacentral:lncRNA from 1 species